GUCACUUGAGAAGUGGAUUAGCGACUUGAAAAUGGUUUAGUGUAGUUCUUGAAAGGUUAACUUGUGUUUUGAAAUUAGUUAAGUGUAAUCACUUGAAAAUGUGAAUUAGAGAGUUGAAAAUUGUUAAGUGUAGUGUUUCAAAAUGUGCACUAGUGGCUUCAAAUUGACCAAGUGUAGUCACUUGAGAAGUGAAUUAGCGACUUGAAAAUGGUUUAGUGUAGUUACUUGAAAGGUACAGUUGUGUUUUGAAAUUAGUAAAGUGUAAUCACUUGAAAGUGUGAAUUCAUGACUUGAAAUUGAUUUAGUUUAGUCACUUGAGAAGUGAAUUAGAGAAUUAAAAAUGGUUAAGUUUAGUGUUUUGAAAUGUAUACUACUGGCUUCAAAACGAUCAAGUCACCUCCACCUCCACCUCCACUUCCACCUUCUCCUCUACCUCCUCCUAUAGAAUAAGAUAUUGAUGCAGAUUUGAUUGGUCUAGUUCCCAAAGAUACAGACAUACUUGGUAGAGUGUUCAUCGAGCCUGAUGAAUUUUCGUGGUAUUCCGCAUCAAAAGAAGUUAAUGAGGCUGUAAGGGAGAGUGUUAUGAGACUUUUUACAUAUCCUUGGUACGAGUGGUGGGACAUUCCAAUAGUCUCUAAACUAGCCAUGUUUCAAGAGUUUAAGACAAUGUGUUGUUGGUUGGUAAAGCACGAUCAGGCUAUUUCUAUAAUUUUUGAGAGACAUGCUGUUAUGUCAUAUCAAAUUGCACAUCUUACGCGUGCCUUGACACAGGCCGCUGCUCCUGAUUCAAGUAGCGAAGAGGAAAUAGAGAGUGAUAAGGAGUUUGUUGGGGCUACUCCUUAAUGUUGUUAGACUUGACUUUUAAAUAAUUUUUAGAUAUUUUUUAACUUAUCUUUUAAUUAGUGAAAAAUCUUUAGGAGUGUUUAAGUAUUUUGAAUGUUGUUGGAUUCAU